UUCCGUAGGGUGAACCUGCGGAGGGAUCCUUACUGAGUUUACGCUCUAUAACCCUUUGUGAACAUACCUAUAACUGUUGCUUCGGCGGGUAGGGUCUCCGUGACCCUCCCGGCCUCCCGCCCCCGGGCGGGUCGGCGCCCGCCGGAGGAUAACCAAACUCUGAUUUAACGACGUUUCUUCUGAGUGGUACAAGCAAAUAAUCAAAACUUUUAACAACGGAUCUCUUGGUUCUGGCAUCGAUGAAGAACGCAGCGAAAUGCGAUAAGUAAUGUGAAUUGCAGAAUUCAGUGAAUCAUCGAAUCUUUGAACGCACAUUGCGCCCGCCAGCAUUCUGGCGGGCAUGCCUGUUCGAGCGUCAUUUCAACCCUCAAGCUCUGCUUGGUGUUGGGGCCCUACAGCUGAUGUAGGCCCUCAAAGGUAGUGGCGGACCCUCCCGGAGCCUCCUUUGCGUAGUAACUUUACGUCUCGCACUGGGAUCCGGAGGGACUCUUGCCGUAAAACCCCCCAAUUUUCCAAAGGUUGACCUCGGAUCAGGUAGAGACAA
rnacentral:rRNA from 1 species